GACGAACGCUGGCGGCGUGCUUAACACAUGCAAGUCGAACGGAAAGGCCUGCUUUCCCUUGCGCAUUGCGGGUACUCGAGUGGCGAACGGGUGAGUAACACGUGAGUGAUCUGCCCCCAACUUGGUUAUAAGCCUGGGAAACUGGGUCUAAUUACCUAUAGGACUGCAGGGUUGUGUCUUUAGUGGCAAACUAUUUUCUAGUGGUUGGGGAUGAGCUCGCGGCCUAUCGGCUUGUUGGUGGGGUAAUUGACUAACAAGGCGGCGACGGGUAGCCGGCCUGAGAGGGUGGACGGGCACAUAGGGACGGAGAUACGGCCCAGACUACGACGGGAGGGAGCAGUGGGGAAUAUUGCACAAUGGGCGGAAGCCUGAUGCAGCGACGCCGCGGGAGGAUGACGGCCUUCGGGUUGUAAACUCCUUGCGACAGCGAGGAAGCAACCUGGUUGGAAGGGUGGGGACGGUAGUGGUAGAAGAAGCACCGGCUAACUACGU
rnacentral:rRNA from 1 species